rnacentral:rRNA from 3 species
UGGGGAAUCUUGCGCAAUGGGCGAAAGCCUGACGCAGCCAUGCCGCGUGAAUGAUGAAGGUCUUAGGAUUGUAAAAUUCUUUCACCGGGGACGAUAAUGACGGUACCCGGAGAAGAAGCCCCGGCUAACUUCGUGCCAGCAGCCGCGGUAAUACGAAGGGGGCUAGCGUUGCUCGGAAUUACUGGGCGUAAAGGGAGCGUAGGCGGACUGUUAAGUUAGAGGUGAAAGCCCAGGGCUCAACCUUGGAAUUGCCUUUGAUACUGGCAGUCUUGAGUACGGAAGAGGUAUGUGGAACUCCGAGUGUAGAGGUGAAAUUCGUAGAUAUUCGGAAGAACACCAGUGGCGAAGGCGACAUACUGGUCCGUUACUGACGCUGAGGCUCGAAAGCGUGGGGAGCAAACA